GCAGAGUGAAGGGCCGGGAACAGUGGAGGGUGCGAGGAAGACAAUGGGGGAGGACCCUGAGGCGGCCUCUGUGAGCCGACAGGAACACGUGGUCGAUCAGAGAGAGACUCGAGGUUCGUGAACGGAUGGGGAGGACCCUGAAAAGCACUGUGGAAUACAGGUUUCUAGUAACUUCAAAAUCACAUCAUUUGGACUGGCACGAUGAGCCACUUGAGGCCAGGUACAGCCAUGGCGUGUAUCCCAGAGCACCUGUGAGAAUGUCUCACAGACAGUCCGUCUCUCCUGAAUAUGAAGGGAUGGGCACCAGCCGGAGCCACCAUCCGUGUGACUGGCCCGUGGCCGCCUCCAGCUCACACAGAACCUCUGCACGCAACGGAAAAAGGUCUCCCCUGGGUGAAUGGGGUGGGAAACGUGUGCCCCUCCAGGCGGCUGGUGAGCAGAGUGCUCCCCUCGGCAGGGUGUGACUUGUACAGCUCCACCACGGGCCCUGUAACAAGACAGGCUUCGACCCUGCCCUCUUGCAGCUCGUAUGUAUGAGGGGCAGCCCAAUAAAUAAAUAAGCAAA
rnacentral:lncRNA from 1 species